GGGUUGUGAGGUUAAGCGACUAAGCGUACACGGUGGAUGCCUAGGCAGUCAGAGGCGAUGAAGGGCGUGCUAAUCUGCGAUAAGCGUCGGUAAGCUGAUAUGAAGCGUUAUACCCGACGAUACCCGAAUGGGGAAACCCAGUGUGUUUCGACACACUAUCAUGACAUGAAUACAUAGUGUCAUGAGGCGAACCGGGGGAACUGAAACAUCUCAGUACCCCGAGGAAAAGAAAUCAACCGAGAUUCCCCCAGUAGCGGCGAGCGAACGGGGAGGAGCCCAGAACCUGAAUCAGUUUGUGUGUUAGUGGAAGCGUCUGGAAAGUCGCACAGUAAAGGGUGAUAGUCCCGUACACAAAAAUGCACAAGUUGUGAGUUCGAUGAGUAGGGCGGGACACGUGACAUCCUGUCUGAAUAUGGGGGGACCAUCCUCCAAGGCUAAAUACUCCUGACUGACCGAUAGUGAACCAGUACCGUGAGGGAAAGGCGAAAAGAACCCCGGCGAGGGGAGUGAAAUAGAACCUGAAACCGUGUACGUACAAGCAGUGGGAGCCUACUUGUUAGGUGACUGCGUACCUUUUGUAUAAUGGGUCAGCGACUUAUAUUCUGUAGCAAGGUUAACCGUAUAGGGGAGCCGCAGGGAAACCGAGUCUUAACUGGGCGUUAAGUUGCAGGGUAUAGACCCGAAACCCGGUGAUCUAGCCAUGGGCAGGUUGAAGGUUGGGUAACACUAACUGGAGGACCGAACCGACUAAUGUUGAAAAAUUAGCGGAUGACUUGUGGCUGGGGGUGAAAGGCCAAUCAAACCGGGAGAUAGCUGGUUCUCCCCGAAAGCUAUUUAGGUAGCGCCUCGUGAAUUCAUCUUCGGGGGUAGAGCACUGUUUCGGCUAGGGGGUCAUCCCGACUUACCAACCCGAUGCAAACUACGAAUACCGAAGAAUGUUAUCACGGGAGACACACGGCGGGUGCUAACGUUCGUCGUGAAGAGGGAAACAACCCAGACCGCCAGCUAAGGUCCCAAAGUCAUGGUUAAGUGGGAAACGAUGUGGGAAGGCAUAGACAGCCAGGAUGUUGGCUUAGAAGCAGCCAUCAUUUAAAGAAAGCGUAAUAGCUCACUGGUCGAGUCGGCCUGCGCGGAAGAUGUAACGGGGCUAAACCAUGCACCGAAGCUGCGGCAGCGACACUUAGGUGUUGUUGGGUAGGGGAGCGUUCUGUAAGCCUGCGAAGGUGGCCUGUGAGGGCUGCUGGAGGUAUCAGAAGUGCGAAUGCUGACAUAAGUAACGAUAAUGCGGGUGAAAAACCCGCACGCCGGAAGACCAAGGGUUCCUGUCCAACGUUAAUCGGGGCAGGGUGAGUCGACCCCUAAGGCGAGGCUGAAAAGCGUAGUCGAUGGGAAACAGGUUAAUAUUCCUGUACUCGGUGUUACUGCGAAGGGGGGACGGAGAAAGCUAGGUUAUCCGGGCGACGGUUGUCCCGGUUUAAGCGUGAAGGUGGGUGACUUUGGUAAAUCCGGGUCAUCGUUAACACUGAGGCGUGAUGACGAGUCACUACGGUGAUGAAGUAACCGAUGCUACGCUUCCAGGAAAAGCCUCUAAGCUCCAGGUAACAUCAAAUCGUACCCCAAACCGACACAGGUGGUCAGGUAGAGAAUACUCAGGCGCUUGAGAGAACUCGGGUGAAGGAACUAGGCAAAAUGGUGCCGUAACUUCGGGAGAAGGCACGCUGAUGGUAGGUGAAGUGACUUGCUCAUGGAGCUGAAAUCAGUCGAAGAUACCAGCUGGCUGCAACUGUUUAAUAAAAACACAGCACUGUGCAAACACGAAAGUGGACGUAUACGGUGUGACGCCUGCCCGGUGCCGGAAGGUUAAUUGAUGGGGUCAGCCGCAAGGCGAAGCUCUUGAUCGAAGCCCCGGUAAACGGCGGCCGUAACUAUAACGGUCCUAAGGUAGCGAAAUUCCUUGUCGGGUAAGUUCCGACCUGCACGAAUGGCGUAAUGAUGGCCAGGCUGUCUCCACCCGAGACUCAGUGAAAUUGAACUCGCUGUGAAGAUGCAGUGUACCCGCGGCAAGACGGAAAGACCCCGUGAACCUUUACUAUAGCUUGACACUGAACCUUGAGCCUUGAUGUGUAGGAUAGGUGGGAGGCUUUGAAGCGUGGACGCCAGUCUGCGUGGAGCCAACCUUGAAAUACCACCCUUUAAUGUUUGAUGUUCUAACGUGGACCCGUAAUCCGGGUUGCGGACAGUGUCUGGUGGGUAGUUUGACUGGGGCGGUCUCCUCCCAAAGCGUAACGGAGGAGCACGAAGGUUAGCUAAUCCUGGUCGGACAUCAGGAGGUUAGUGCAAAGGCAUAAGCUAGCUUGACUGCGAGAGUGACAGCUCGAGCAGGUGCGAAAGCAGGUCUUAGUGAUCCGGUGGUUCUGAAUGGAAGGGCCAUCGCUCAACGGAUAAAAGGUACUCCGGGGAUAACAGGCUGAUACCGCCCAAGAGUUCAUAUCGACGGCGGUGUUUGGCACCUCGAUGUCGGCUCAUCACAUCCUGGGGCUGAAGUAGGUCCCAAGGGUAUGGCUGUUCGCCAUUUAAAGUGGUACGCGAGCUGGGUUUAGAACGUCGUGAGACAGUUCGGUCCCUAUCUGCCGUGGGCGUUGGAAGAUUGAGAGGGGUUGCUCCUAGUACGAGAGGACCGGAGUGAACGCACCACUGGUGUACGGGUUGUGAUGCCAAUUGCAUUGCCCGGUAGCUAAGUGCGGAAGAGAUAACCGCUGAAAGCAUCUAAGCGGGAAACUUGCCUCGAGAUGAGUCUUCCCUGGACACUUGAUGUCCCUGAAGGGCCGUUGAAGACGACGACGUAGAUAGGCUGGGUGUGUAAGCGUAGCGAUACGUUGAGCUGACCAGUACUAAUGACCCGAGAGGCUUAACCUUACAACACCGAAGGUGUUU
rnacentral:rRNA from 1 species